rnacentral:sRNA from 1 species
GCCAGGCAUGAUAGUGCAUGCCUGUAAUCCCAGCAACUUGGGAGGCUGAGGCAGGAGAAUCUCAAAUUCAAAACCAGCCUCAGCAAUUAAGCAAGGUCCUAAGCAACUCAGUGAGAUUCUGUCUCAA